GAUGAACGCUGGCGGCGUGCCUAAUACAUGCCAGUCGAACGCUGAAGGAAGGAGCUUGCUCUUUCCGGAUGAGUUGCGAACGGGUGAGUAACGCGUAGGUAACCUGCCUGGUAGCGGGGGAUAACUAUUGGAAACGAUAGCUAAUACCGCAUAACAGUAGAUGUUGCAUGAUAUCUACUUAAAAGGUGCAAUUGCACCACUACCAGAUGGACCUGCGUUGUAUUAGCUAGUUGGUGAGGUAACGGCUCACCAAGGCGACGAUACAUAGCCGACCUGAGAGGGGGAUCGGCCACACUGGGACUGAGACACGGCCCAGACUCCUACGGGAGGCAGCAGUAGGGAAUCUUCGGCAAUGGACGGAAGUCUGACCGAGCAACGCCGCGUGAGUGAAGAAGGGUGUCGGAUCGUAAAGCUCUGUUGUAAGAGAAGAACGAGUGUGAGAGUGGAAAGUUCACACUGUGACGGUAGCUUACCAGAAAGGGACGGCUAACUACGUG
rnacentral:rRNA from 1 species